rnacentral:lncRNA from 1 species
CCAGGACUGUCUCAGUCACACAGAUGGACAGAGCAAACGAUUUUAGGGCGCCUGAGAUUUGUUUUAAUCAGAUGCUACUCGCACGCCUUCCAUGUGCCACUGGCCCCAGGAGGAGACCACAGAGGUGGUCUAGGCUUAGCCUCAGAACAAAACGAGACAAGAUACAAGCAUGUGGCAGAUGAAGAGACGAGGCUGAGAAAGAGCCCAGGACAAGGUGGUGACAAAAGCAGGAUGCAGGACCCAAAUUCCCCUUCGAGAGCUCUUCCUCCUCCAGCCGGGAAAUUCCGUUCGGCUCAUUGUCUUUGGCCUCAAACUCCCGGGGGAAGGGACGGAACCUGGGAGGCUGAGGAAAACCAGAUGCCUAAUCGAUGCUCCUGCAUUUGACAAGGGCGCUGGGGGUGGACGGGCCUGGAGCUGCGCGGCAAACAUUUCAGACUCUUUUGCAUCCUGAAAAUGGCUCUGGGUGUGGAGACAGCCCGGGGAGGAGGCCGUCUGGGACCAUAUGACGCUUGCCAGUGGCAUGAAGGCUGUUAGAGCCAUGGUAGCAACAUUACUUACCCUCCUCCCUUCUCUUGAACAGUGACGAGGCUCCCCCCACUUCACGGGAAGCACACGAAAUCUGGCCCCCAGAGAGGUGGGAUUGAAAACCUGACAGUUUGGACAUACAGCCCGUGGGCAAUGUUUCCCUUCUCCCGGGCUUGUGUCUGUGCCAAGAAUUCCUAACAAAG